rnacentral:rRNA from 1 species
CCUACGGGAGGCAGCAGUGAGGAAUAUUGGUCAAUGGGCUUACGCCUGAACCAGCCAAGUCGCGUGAGGGAAGACUGCCCUAUGGGUUGUAAACCUCUUUUGUCAGGGAGCAACGCCGGCUACGUGUAGCCGGACUGAGAGUACCUGAAGAAAAAGCAUCGGCUAACUCCGUGCCAGCAGCCGCGGUAAUACGGAAGGCCCGAGCGUUAUCCGGAUUCAUUGGGCUUAAAGGGAGCGUAGGCGGGCGUUCAAGUCAGCUGUAAAAUCGCGCGGCUCAACCGCGCCCCGCAGUUGAAACUGGACGCCUUGAGUUCACAACAGGCAGGCGGAAUUCGUGGUGUAGCGGUGAAAUGCAUAGAUAUCACGAGGAACCCCGAUUGCGAAGGCAGCCUGCCGGGGUGCGACUGACGCUGAGGCUCGAAGGUGCGGGUAUCAAACAGGAUUAGAUACCCUUGUAGUC